UACGAAGGGGGCUAGCGUUGCUCGGAAUCACUGGGCGUAAAGGGUGCGUAGGCGGGUCUUUAAGUAAGGGGUGAAAUCCUGGAGCUCAACUCCAGAACUGCCUUUGAUACUGAAGAUCUUGAGUUCGGGAGAGGUGAGUGGAACUGCGAGUGUAGAGGUGAAAUUCGUAGAUAUUCGCAAGAACACCAGUGGCGAAGGCGGCUCACUGGCCCGAUACUGACGCUGAGGCACGAAAGCGUGGGGAGCAAACAGG
rnacentral:rRNA from 1 species